UACGGAGGAUCCGAGCGUUAUCCGGAUUUAUUGGGUUUAAAGGGAGCGUAGGUGGAUUGUUAAGUCAGUUGUGAAAGUUUGCGGCUCAACCGUAAAAUUGCCGUUGAAACUGGAAGACUUGAGUGUGUUUGAGGUAGGCGGAAUGCGUGGUGUAGCGGUGAAAUGCAUAGAUAUCACGCAGAACCCCGAUUGCGAAGGCAGCCUGCCGCAGCGUUACUGACGCUGAAGCUCGAAAGCGCGGGUAUCGAACAGG
rnacentral:rRNA from 1 species